UUAGGCAAACGAAGUUAGAUCUGAGGGUUGCAGUAGCGAAAGUAGAAGAGUUAACUAAAGUGACUGAAGAUCUUCAGGAACAAAUGCAAAAGAAGGUGUUUUCUAUUUCUUAAAAUAUUUUUUGGUAUAAUAGACUGACUCUUGUUAUGUUUUAGAGAAAUUUCAGCUUAUCAAGGAAAGAUAGGUGUUGUGGUUUAGACAUGAGGUGUCCCCCCAGAAGCUAAUAUGUGAGACAAUGCAAGAACAUUUAGAGGUAAAAUUAUUGGAUUAUAAGCACCUUAACUCAAUCAGUGCAUUAAUCCAGUUGAAUCAAGUAAAUGGGUGAUAACUGUAGACUGGUAGGGUGUGGCAGGAGGAGGUAGGUCGCUGGGGCCUGUCUCCUGGUGAGAGAAAGCUCAUUCUGCUUUCUGGUGGCCAUGUCCUGGGCUGCUUUCCUCCUGCUCACUCUUCUGCCAGGAUGCUCUGCUGCACCUUGGGCCUGGAGCAAUGGAGCUGACUGUCUAUGAACCGAGACUUCUGAAACCGUGAGCCCUAAAUAAACUGUUACUCCUCUAAAAUUGCUGUUGUCAAGUCUUUUGUUCAUAGCAGUGAAAAAGCUGACUAAAACAAUUGGGUUAGAUUUAGAUAGACUUAAUUAUUAAAAAUUCUACCUCUAACACUUUUUAGCUAUAUAACUUUCUAAGCCUUAGUCCCUGGUCUCUAAAAAACUAAUUUCAAAUCUCCAAUAAUGUUAGAUUUAUGAAGGGGUUACAAGAACUUUCCCAUGAAUAUCCAUUAUAAAAACUGAGUCAGGCAAAAUGGCACACAUCUGGAGUCCCAACUACUUGUGAGAGUAAGGCAAGAGGAUUGCAAAUUUGAGGCCAGCCUUGGCAACUUUGAGACCCUGUCUUAGAUAAGGUACAAAGGGCUGGGGAUGUAGCUCAGUGCUAGAGCACUUGCCUAGUACUGGGUAGGGGAGGGGAAGGAAUGGAUAAUUUUUUAAAAACACUAGAAACUAUCCCAAUACAAAAAAGAGUAAAAGAAGUAAGAAUUGUUAAAUCAUUUUAAGGUCUUCUGAAGGCCUUUAAAUUGCUUUCAUGUAUUCAAGACCAAAGUUUAGAACUAGAAAAGCUAUUGGAAAUUUAGAAAAUAUUGGUAGUAAGAGUCAUAAAAAAAAAUAGGACCCUGCUUCCGAGUUUAUAUUCUUUCCAGAUGUAUACGUAACAUUCCAAAUCAUGCAUAUGGGUAGAGGGGAGGGACCCCAGGAAGCAAUUCCAGUGAAGAAGCAGGCAGAGGUCCUAGAGAAACCUGCUCUGGAAAGACAGAAAUACAUGAAAAUAGGUAUUUGAGUUUGCUACUUUUUAUAAUUGAGUACAUUCUAAUUAUGUGUACACCUGAGCAACAGAAAGCUGAAGCUUUAUUCUUUGCAAUAUCAAAGGGAAGACCCCAAAGCUAGAAGUCACAGGGGAAUCUCUGCAGCGAGGAAAUCACACAGAGAGUGAACCCUCUCUGCCCACAUCUGGCCAGAUGCUCAGCUCAUGCACAGGGUACUCCCACAAACUCAGCUCUAGAGAUAACCGUAGGCAACAGCAAGGACUAACCACAGAGAGACAUCAGAUGCUCCAUACUAGGAAAAAGACUUCAGCACUCAAGUCCAAGUAAGGUGAUUGUCUCCCUGGACAACAAUAGCAAAGCUGCAAUCCUCAAAAGAACAACGCAGAAUACAGAGUAGCUCAAGUAUAUCAUCUACCAUGUCCAGUUUUCAACCAAAAAUUACCAGACAGAAUUGUGGGAUGUAUACUCGAGGGACAGGAGUUUGGAGAAUGGAAGUGGGACUAUCAGUAGAGUCUCUCAGUGGAUGCUGCUGUUGAGUUUUGUAGGCAAACUUCAAAUCAAGAAUUAUAAAUAUGUUCAGGGAAUUUUUUGAAACAUCUGUUUUUAAAUUAGAGUAAAUUAAGUUCUCAGAGAAAGGAGAGAGAGAGAAAUUUGAUUGAGAACUAGAAAAUAAUUUUUAGUACAGCAAUUCUAGAGCUUAAAGUAUAGCAAAUGAAAAAUAAUUCAUUUGAUGGACCCAAAAACAGACUGGAAAGGAGAAUGAUUUAUGAAGUCAAAAUCAGAACAAUAGAAUUUUUCUAAUAAAAAAAAAUGUUUAAAAUACUGAAGUAAUCAAUGGAACAAUAUGAGCCGGUAAGUAUAACUGAAACUGCACAAAGGAGAAGAGGAACAGAAAAACAGAGAAAUAAUGACCAAAACUUCCUCAGUUUGGUGGGAAACUAACAGAUCCAAGAAUUUCCCUGAGCCAAACACAAAGCAAAUCCCUCCUGGACACACCAUGAUGGCACUGACAGUUAAUUUUAAAAGAAAAAAAAAAAUUGAAAAUAGCAACAGAACACUGACCUGCAUGGGGAAACCACAACAAGAUCAAUGGCCGAGUUCUCGGGAAGAAGCCGUGGAUGCAGAAAGUAUUGGAAUAAUAGACACAAAGUGCUGAAGAGAAAAAAAUGCUCGCUCAGAGUUCUGUAUCCAGAGCAGAUAUAUUUUUAAAAUGAAGACAAAAUAAAAAUACUUUUAAGUAAACUAAUACAAAAUCCCCCCACACACACACAGAACUACAUUUCAAAAAAUUCUGAAGGAAGUUUUUUAGGCUGAAAGGAAAUUUGCACUGAUGGCAACUCAUAUGUAGGAAGAAUUAAAAACAAGAGGAAGAUGUGAAAUAGGAUAUGUCUAUUUUCUCUUUUCUCAACAUAUUCAAGUAUGCAGUUAUAAUAAAUGACAACGAUGACACUAAGGACUAACCUAGUACAUGGAGGUAUAUUGUUGCAAGGUUCCAGUGUCAUUUCUGAAUUAAUUUAAUAUUAACUUUACAUAGGGAUAAAUUAAAGAAGCAUAUUAUGACCUCUACAGCAGCACCCCCCCACAACAAAAAGUAAUUCAGAAACACAGUUAAAAGCAAGAGGAAUUUAAAUAGCAUCAUACAAAUAUUUAACAUAAAAGAAGGCAGGGAAGAAUAGACAAAAUUUUUUAGGAAGAUGAUAAAAUAAAAUCUAUGAAUAUAUUUCAGAGCAUCAUUAUAUCAGAGGAGAAACACCCUGAGGUUACUGUGGUAGAUAAUGAUUUAAAAGACCAUAUAUUUAAAAGACCAUAUCCUAAAGGCCAGCUGUCUGAAUGAAAAUACCUGUCUUGCUGUUAGAUUCCCACUAUAGAAUCAGUUUGAAACCUUUGUAGAAAUCUAUGUUUGUACAAAUCUAUAUGCAAUGACUGUUUUGAUUGAUUGUCUAAUAUAGUAUUGAUGGUGAAGUUCUCUCCUAUCUGUGUUAUAUAUGUCAUUCCUUUCCAAAGUCACAUGGCUUCUUUAAACUUAGUUAGAAUUAUAGCAGCAUAACUUCGUGCUGUGAGCUGUUUUCUUCAGGCUCUAAAGUGGUGUAUUAAGUUUUCAUGUACUUGAAAUAAGCUUCCAGUCUCUCUAUUUUCUAGGAGGAGGAUAUGCUGUCUGCCCAGGGAAGAGAAGACGCAUCAGAUAAACGCCUACAUCAGUUACAAACAAGUAUAAAACAAUUAGAAGUGCGGUGAGUUGUUAAAUAUGUGUGGCUUUGUCUGUAUACUUCCACAGAUGUGCUAAAGUAGAAUUUAUAUUUAUGGUGUUAGAAUAUGUAUUAUAAAGUGCUAAAUCAAAACUAUAAUUGUCAUUCAAUAUUUUGGACAUUAUUUUAAAAUUCACAUUCAGAAAAUUAUUACACUUUGAACAUAUGUUCAAAAAUCUUUUGUUUAAUGAGACUAUACCUUUCACACAGUGUGCUAUAGUAAUCAUAACUUUUUUAAAAAAAAUUUUUUAGUUAUAUAUAGACACAAUAUUUUGUUUAUUUAUUUUUAUGUGGGGCUGAGGGUCGAACCCAGUGCCUCACAUGUGUGAGGCAAGCGCUCUGCCACUGAGCUACAACCCCAGCCCAUCAUUAUUUUUAAAGAGAACAAUCGUACCAAUUUUAGUUCAAUACUUUUUAAAGAAGAACUGAAAUUCUUUGAGUGCUGUGGCCUUUGUUUUAGUACGGCAUGACAAAGUACGCCUUCAUUUUCUUCUAUCUUGAGGUCACUCUGCAGAAUUUGAAGUGAACCUAGUUGAUCUUUAAAAACCUAAAUUCCUUCUUUCUUCUCAUGACUGAUUAAAAUUUCUAAAUCACAGUAUCAGAGGAAACUUGAUAUUACCUCGACACCCCCAUAGUUCCAUCUUACAUAGUCAAAGUAAGCCAUGGAAAUAGAAGACAUGCAAGCAGAAGGCCUGGCGAUGUGUGAGGCUUGCCUUCAGUUACCAGUGUUGCCAAAAAAAAAAAAAAAGGAGAAUGUUAUUUUUAAACUAUAUUUUAGUAAUCAGGGCCAUAAACACUGCAAGAAUGAUUAGCUCAAGGAGUUGAAUAUUGUGGAUUUUUUAAAAUUAUUUACUCUAUUGUAUUUUUUGAGAUACUGGGAUUUGAACUGAGGGGCACUCUACAGCUGAGCUACAUCCCAGUCCUUUUGUUUUGUUUUGAGACGGUCAUGCUACCACUAUCAACCUAAAUUGAUGUUUGAGAUUUCACUUUUAUUUACUAAAGAAUACAUCCAAAUUUACACAUUUUUACAUAAUCAGAAUGCAAAUUACUUUUUUUUUCCUUCUUUCUUCAGCAAAUCCUCAUUACCCAGAUUGAAGACAUUUCAGAAACUAGGUUACCAACUAGGUGUGUGUGUGUGUGUGUGUGUGUGUGUAUGUGCGUGCACACGUGUGGUUUAUGUUUAAGAGAUUGAGAGUAAGUAAUGUGAAAUGAUUGAAAAAUAUAAUUUAGUUAAAAUUUUCUUUCCUUUUGAGGUUUGUUUGGGUAGUAUAGGGACUCUUCAGUACUGUAAAAGACUAAAUGUACCAGACAAGCAUAGGAGAUGAUUUUAUUCAGAUUGUUGCAGAAGGGAGAACAUUCAUUCAUGAGGAUUGUUUCAAAAAAAAGGGAGGGGCUGGAAGUUUCAUACAGGCAGGUAAACAAGGAUGAGGUGCUUGAGUCUUUGGGGAGUCAAGAGAAGGGAGAAGUGGGUCUGUUCUUGGAAUACUAAGUACAAGGUUAUCCUUUUUAUUCAUCCCUUUGCUGGAACACCAAAGGAUAGAAGAUUUUAGAGAACAGGGGAGCAUAGGGCUCAAGUGUAGUCCAAUGUUGUCAGUACAAAGGAAGAACAAAAGCCGGGUACAUUGGGUGUAGCAUGCCACAGCAUCUGCUCUCAAGGUCUGAAGCAGAUAUUUGGGUGGACCACUGCUACAGGUUAGAAAGCAAAGAUAACAAAAGUGACUCAACCAAUAGGCAGACUAUUCUCAUUCACAUAGGAAAAGCUCUUCAUGUGAACAUUGUGAUGAUAAAGUAAAUAUAGAUAUAUAUAGAGAGAGAUAGAUAUAUAUACACACACACAUUUUUUAAUGUGUGUGUGUGUAUAUAUAUCUAUAUCUAUAGCAUUUGAAUGUAAGAGAAAUAAAUCCCCCAGAGUAUAAACAAGCAUAGACAGGGAGCUAAAUCAGAGUAGUAAAUAAAGAAGGAAGCCAGGCCUGGAGCUGUAUAAAGUGGCAGGGGCCUCAACCUAGGGGAGCCUGCUUUAAAUGGACCCCUUCAAGAACUACGGCCUCAUUGAAAGGUAGAUAGGAAAAGUAUUUGCCUCUUAACAAAGACAGAUGACAUGAGACUGUUUACCAUAUUGUCAGGUAGAAAAAGCAAAACAAGAUAACCAUUAUAGUCUUCUCUAAACAGGUGUAGACAGCCCUGGCAACAGAGGAGCCUGGGGUGUUCAUUGGAAACUCAGGCCAAAAAACUUAAGUGGCGUUAAGUUGGUAGCAAAUCAUGGUGCAUGGGAAAUGCAAAAGUAAAUCUCUUUGAGGGGAAACAUUUUAAAUUUAGGCUCCUAAAGAUUCCCAUAGAUUAAAUUCAGGCAAAAAUGAGUUUAUCAAAAAUUACCAAAUGCAAGAAAAACUAAGCCACUUGACUGGCAGGAGGAAAACAAGGUAGGAUUUAGAAGCAGCUCCCACUUCACCCCCAAAAAGCUUCAAGUAAUAAAGUAAUAGAAUAUAGAAUAUAUAGCACAUGUUGAAUAAUUAAGGAAGCAAUGAGAAUUUUUUUCAUGUGCAAGGAAGUUAUUAUUUUCUACCUUUACCUUUUCCCCAAAGCAGUCAUAGUCAGUUUAAUCCAUCACAAAAUGAAAAUGUUCUUUCCAUUUCAAGACAGGAAAAAAAUAAUAAUAAUGAAGGGUAAAAAUUGUAAAGAAAAAAAAUUGUUUUUUACUAAAUAGUUAUACAAGAUGAGAAAUCAUUAUGCUUUCCCUGGAGUUUUCUGGAGCAUUAUAUUUAUUUAUCAUUGAAGGUUUGAAUUGCUUUUUAAGUAUAUUCUACAGUUUUGUCAUAAAUUGCUAUCUUAUUACAAAAAUCACUCUAGCAUCUUUUGUCUUUGUUGUUUCCUAAGGCUUAUUGGUUGUUCUUUUAAGAAACUUGAAAAUUGUCAUUUGUAAUCCAAUUACGAUAAAAUGAUCACAGCCUGUGGAUUCACAUUAUGGUUUAUAUCUGAAAAACUUAUCCUGUACCUUUGGACUCUGUUACACAGAGAAAUAGUCUACUGACCUGAGCAUAUCAAGAACUCAUAUCUUAGUUCUAGUCACAGAUGCAUAACUAAUUUAUUCUAUGUCCAGAAAAAAAAUGUGUAUUUGAAUCUCUCUUCUCCAAAAUGUUAAUAAAAGUAAUUACUUUGCUCACAGCAGAUUGAGAACAAAUUGAUUUUUUUAUUUAUAUAUGACAGCAGAAUGCAUUAUAGUUUUUAUUACAUAUAUAUAGGGCACAAUUUUUCAUAUCUCUUGUUGUAUACAUAGUAUAUUCACACCAAUUUGUGUCUUCAUACCCGUACUUUGGAUAAUAAUGAUUAUCACAUUCCACCAUCAUUAAUUACCCCAUGCCCCCUCCCUUCCCCUCCAACCCCUCUUCCGUAUCUAAAGUUCCUCUUUUCCUCCCAUGCUCCCUCUCCCUAUCCCACUAUGAAUCAGCCUCCUUAUAUCAAAGAAAACAUUUGGUAUUUGGUUUUUUGGGAUUGGCUAAACUUCAUUUAGUAUUUAUUAUCUUCUCUAACUCCAUCCAUUUACCUGCAAAUGCCAUGAUUUUAUUCUCUUUUAUUGCUGAGUAAUAUUCCAUUGUGUAUAUAUGCUACAUUUUUUUUUAUCCAUUCAUCUAUUGAAGGGCAUCUAAGUUGGUUUCACAGUUUAGCUAUUGUGAAUUGUUCUACUACAUUGAUGUGGCUGUGUCCCUAUAGUAUGCUGUUUUUAAGUCCUUUGGAUAUAGACCGAGGAGAGGGACAGCUGAGUCAAAUGGUGGUUCCAUUCCCAGUUUUCCAGGAAAUCUCCGUACUGCUUUCCAUGUUGACUGCACCAAUUUGCAGUCCCACCAGCGACACUUGAUUAUUUUAUUGCUUUCCUGAACUUCUAUGAGUUAAACUUAGAAAACCACUGUUUGAAGAUUUUUAUUUCUUUUAUUUUAGAAGCAUUCUGUGCUAGUUUAUGCUAAUGACUAGAAACAGUGAAAUAGUGACCAGGCAGACUGUUCACUCUGAAUGAGUGAAUUUCACUUGCUUUUGGUUCUGUUAGUAUUGAAUUAUAAUCAUGUUUAUUUAUUCAACAAUGCUUUAAGUUAUCUUUGGGGGUUUUGUGAUGUUGUUUUUGGUGUAAAACUAUAAUAUUAUAACCUAAGUGUACCCUAAGAAGAGAUCACUGCGUAUUAAAAGAAAGAAAAGAAAAUUAAAUCUUAGGGUACUUUAUUGAAAGUCCAGUUUACAUGUUCAGGAACCCUUUUCUGAAAAGGAUAUUUUUAUACUGAUCUUUUAGUGUUAUCAAAUUGUUGCUAUUUCAUAAAGUCAAAGACAUUUUGGCAUCAAUAAGUAUUUAUUAUUUGGGGUUUUAAAUUAUUGUUUAUGAUCUUUUCAAAUGCCAUAAAUGUUUUAAAAGCAUGUUAUUUCCUUUCCUCUUCUAAAGAUCUCUCCCUGAAAACCUCCAAGUCCCUCUAGAUGACUAAGGAAUCUAGAGAAUGGCAGGUCUCUCUAAGAAAGACUUGUCUUAUUUAUGUAUACUCUGUUAAAUAUAUUAUUAUUAAAUGUUUGUAAAUUAACCUGAGGUUUUAAAAAUAUUUCUAUUGACUAGAUGAUAUUAUGUUAGUUUUUAUAUCAUUUCUCUAUAGGGCAGUUUUUGUACAUAUAUGUGUUAAUGUGUUCUAGUUGUGAACUGGCUAUAUUCAUUUUUUAACUUUAUUUUUAAUCAAGGGAAAAUACAUUGAGAUAGUUUUUAAAAGCCAUAUAGCACCUCAAAGAUUAUAAUGAAAAAUAAGUUUCUUGGUAAUAAAUAUGUAUGGCAGAGGAAGACUAUCUUUAUAAAAGCUGAAAUCUCAAAAGGGAAAAAAAUCAUCAAAUUUAGUUGUAUUAAAUUUUCAAUGUAAAGGGAGGGGGCAGGAGGUUAGCAGUGGACAUCAUUAUCCAAAGUACAUAUAUGAAGACAUGAAUUUGUGUGAACAUACUCUAUAUACAAACAGAUAUAUGAAAAAUGGUGUUCUAUAUGUGUAAUAAGAACUGGGAUGCAUUCCGCUGUGGUGCAUUUAAAAAAUAAAAGCAAUUAAAAAAUUUUUUUCAAUGCAUUGAGUGAAUCUUAACAAAUGAGUGAAUCUUAACAUUGUGUACAUCCACAAGACUGGGAUCCUAAUUAGAAUAAACUGUAUUCCAGGUUUCUAUAAAUAUAUCAAAAUAGAUUCUACUGUCAGAUAUAUAUAUAUAUAUAUAUAUAUAUAUAUAUAUAUAUAUAUAUAUCAAAUAAAAAAUUUUUCAGUUAAAGAUUCCUUAAGUACAGUCAACAGACAAUGAUGACAACAACCAAGUAGAUGUGCAAAACAUUUGUAGCAUAAAGUACAUACUGAGGAUUAAUAGCUAUAUUAUUCAGGGUUCUUAUAAAGCAAUAAGUAAACAGCUCAUCAGAAAAAAAACAGAUGGAGAAGAUGAAAAAGAAAUUCAAAAAACAAAUUCCGCAUGGCUUAGAAAACAAAAGUGUUUAAACUCCCCAGGAAAAUUCAAAUGAAUAGGUUAUGUCCAUCAGACUAGGAAAAGAAAGCUUUGGAUGUAUUGUUUAGUGGAAUUUUCUCAUAUAUUGAAUGAGAAAAGAGCAUAAUAUGAUGAUUUUAAUUCUUUUAACAAAAAUAUGUACAGAAGCCUAUGGAUGUAUAUAUGCUAAGUGUGUGUAUGUAUGUAUAUGAUUAUAUGAACUAGGAGAAAAAUAUUCAAAGUAUUCAUUAAUAAGUUAACAGGCUUACCUGAGCAGAAGGCAGGAGAAGGGGGCCAAGAGGAAAAAAAGAGAAAAGGAAGAUCAUAUAAAUAUAAAGAACAAAGCCAUCUUUAAAUGUUUUUGUCAUAAUAUUGUCAUAUUAUACAGUGUGGUAUCACAGCAAAUGUAACCUAAUUAGAGAAUAUGUAGGCUCAGUCUCAGCCCCUCUGCUCUUUAGCCAUAUGACCUUAGUCAAAAGCUGAAUCUCUCUGGGUAUGUUUGUUGUUCUUUAAAAUGGAGAUAAUAAAACCCACUACAGAAUUGUAGUAUGUAUCAAAUGAGAAAAUACAUAAGAAAGUUAUUGGCAUAAUACCUGCCCUGUACUAUGGCCUCAUUAAAUUUUGUUUCCCUCCCUGCCUUUAAAAAUAUUUAACUUUCAUAAUGUGAUUAUUAAUUUCUAGAUUAUGUGUUGCAAUCCAAGAAGCCAACCAGUUAAGAACAGAAAAAACACAUCAGGAAAAACAAACCAGAGACCUUCAAGCAAUGUGUAACAAAUUAGAAAAUGAGAAAUAUGAGGCUAUUCUAAGAGCCAGAGAUAGCAUGCAACUCCUAGAAGAAGCUAAUCUUCAAAAAAGUCAGGUAAGAAAUCUCAAAAAAAAGAAAAAGAAAAAGAGAGAGAGAAAAAACUCACAAACAUGUUUAUAAAUAAUAAAAUGCCAAAAAUUCCUCUGUGGCCUAAUAGUAAAUGAAUCAUCAGCUGCAGCAUAAGUGCAGGAGAAUGACACUAUUCUGUUCUCAGACAUACUAUAUUUUUGAAUGGUAAGACUUAAUAUCAUGAAAUAUGGUAAAAUGUCACUUCUUUUCCAAAGCUAAUAUUUAAAUAUCAGACUUCCCCGUGUAACUGAUUUUCCUCUCCUAUAGUCACACUUCUUAAAAACUCUUAUAAUGCUUUGCCACUGUAUACCCUAUAUUUUAUUCAGUUGGAUCAGAUGAGUCUUAUUCACCCUCUUUCCUCUUCAGCUCCUACACAGUUAUUCUAAUAGAGCAAAAGUUUAAUUGGCAGAGUUAAUUUUAACUUUAAAGAUUAUUAACUAGAUUCUUUUUGUCACUUUUCCUUUUUUAACCUUCUAAACAUUGUGAUUUCUGUGCCAUCUUAUACCAUGUUUUUUUUUCCUUGUACCGUUUCUGUAUGAAUGGUAAAGAUACUUUAAUGGCACUGUCUUUUUAUGUAGAGCUCAUAUUAUCACUAGUUUAUUUAUCAACAUUUAUUGAAUAGCUACUGUAUGCAGAAUGUUCUACUAGGAAAUGUGAGGCAUGUAAAGGAAAUGCAUUGGUUCAUUUUUUACAAGAUGGAGAAUUUUCCAAGAAAGCUACUAAAAACAGAACAAGCUAAAUACUAAAGUGCUUAUCUUGCCUUUCAGGUAGUAUUCCCCUGUGUGAUCUGAGUUCUGUCUCUUAGACUACUUAAAAUAAACACAAUUAGGCUGGGGUUGUAGCUCAGUGUGGUACAGUACUUGCCUCGAGUGUCAGGGACCCAGGUUCAGUUCCCAGCACCACAUACAAAGAAAGCACACAAUAGACAUAAUAUGUUUGAGUAUUGUUUUAAGCAUCCAAGUUAUCUAGAAAUAUUGAGGACAGGACAAAUUUGUUUACCUCUAUCUUCUGAAACCUAAUUGUAUGAGCACUUUGAAUUACCAUCAGGUCACAAAAAUGAAGAUCUUGUGUAGGAUACUAUGGACAGAGGAGGUGUGUAGACACUCAUUGCCUUUCCCCCAGGAUCACAGAGGCUUCCUGUUGGUAGAGUGUCCACCACCCAUGUGACUCCUUGCUUAACUGCUGGAGGAUCCCAUCUUCAGUUACUUGUUUGAUGUUCAGAGUCACUAGCUCUCUAAACCCACUAAAUCCGAAGUGUUUAAUUCUGUGAAUAUUUUGACAAAAUUGACACAGGUUCAUUGAAACAGAUUGGGUAUCAUAAUCUAGAGCUUAUAUAUCCUUUAUUAUCAUUAAGAAUAAAAACAAAGAUUGCCCUCUAAAUAGGACACUGGACAAUGUAAUAUCUUUUACGUACAUAUAAACUGUCCUGUAAUUAGGGCAUUGGGCAAAUGUGAUAUCCUUUCAUAUAUUACACUACAUACAAUGAAGUGACUCUCAUGACCUAUUUAUCAAUUAGUUUUGGUGGAAAGGACAAAACUCUUCAAAGGCUUACAUUACAUAUUUGACAGUAUGUUGUCAGUUUCACAUAAGAUGACUUGUUGUCAAUAUUCUUAAGGCUGAGGCAAGGCGAUCCGAUCGCGACUUCAAAGCUAGGAUCAGCAAAAAUGAAGCACUAAGCUACUCAGUGAGGCCCUGUCUCUAAAUAAAAUACAAAAUAGGGCUGGAGAUGUGGCUCAGUGGUUGAGUGUCCCUGAGUUAAAUCCCUGGCACACACACACACCCUGCCCCCCAAAAAGAGAAUGAUAUGGCUUCUCACAUCAAAUCUUAAUAUCAUUUUGGAGAGUAGUAGGUCUGAGAAUAUCACACUUUCUUCUUUGUGAAGGUUUCUCAUUGCAUCAUUUUACGUAACUAAGCAAGUGUCUCUAAAAAUCGAGCAAAUUUAUGAGAGCUUUCUUGUCUUUGUUCCCAGAUUUGUGAGUAAACCAUGCAUUUAUCAAUUAUCUGAAUGAAUAAAGGCCAAAAUAAUUUUGUACCUCUAAUAGAAGUGAAAUACUUGGCAACCAACUAAUCAUGUGUUUGGUCUCUUUGCCUUUCCUUGAGGCACAUUGGCUCUGCUCUUAAUUUUUUCAAUCAUCAAACUUUGGCAAGUGGUUCUACUAUAUUACAGUUCAUUCCAGUAAUGACACAUUUGUUAUGUAACCAUUUUAUACAAUGAGAAUUUCAUCAUUUGUAUCACACAAACCUCUUGAUUAUUUUUUCAUCAGUGUUGUUGGACUCAUAGGACACUUGUUUAGUCUGUUUUUCCUCAUAGUGCCAAAGUGUACCAAGAAAUCAUAGCCAGUGAAUAGAUCACUGGAGAAAAAAAAAAAAGAAAAAAGCAGAGUGAUUGUGGAUUCUCUACCACUUUAGGCAUUUAUAGAACUACUUGAUCCCAAAGCAAAAGGUCACCGUCAGGUGCUUCUGAAGUACUUUUUCCACAAUAUGAGUAAAAGUUAUAGCAAUAUCUUACUAUUCCCCACAGUGCCCAGAAUUUAUAACCAAAUCUUAUGACCUUACCUCUUAUGAAUUGUUUUAGUGAAUUGUGUCCAUAAUAUCUGAUAAUUAUGUCAUCCACUGCCAAAUGUUCUCCAAAGAUAGCACAAUGUCCACUUUCCUACAGCUUUCAGAAUAAAUGUCUUCUCUCAUCUAUUCUCUGGAGUAUGAAAGCGUGGGUCACAGCUCAUCAGCAAGUGUCCCUAGAAGCAGCACAUCAUCAUGCCAGGCAGCAGUGCGGUGCCCUGCACAUCACUGCACCGCACACAUGUCCCAGCGUCCUCCUCCUAGGACACCGAUGAUUUGAAAUGCAGCAUGUUCCUCAAAAUAGAAUGGCAUCCCCUUUCUAGAGAAUACUUUUGUGAAUAUAUUUUAUACUACUUAUCAAUUAUGUAAAUAUUUUCUUCAGUUGGUCAUUUAGCUAGAGUAACUUUUUUACAGUUUUUUAUUGUUUCUUUUUAGUUUUACAUGACAGCAGAAUCCAUUUUGGUAUAGUUAUAUCUUAUUCUAGUUAGAGUCCCAUUCUUACGGCUGUCCGUGGUGGUGGGAUUCUCUGUGUUGUUUUCAUGUAUGUACAAGGAAAAACUAUGUCAGACUCAGUCCACUGUCCUUCUUUUGCUUACUGCCCCUUUCCCUCCACUCCCCAAAGUCUAAUCUACUGUCGCGACCCCUCGCCGGCAAGGGAAAACACGACACAGGAUUCUUCUUUCAGCAGUUUAUUCAGGCCUUGUUUCAUGUAUCAUCUUCUAGCGAACCCCCGCCGAGCGCCCAAGCACAGCCUAAUAAAGCCUCCCGCAUAGCAAUUCCCAAGCUGCCGCGUGGAUCUCUCUCAUAGGGUGGUAAGGGAUUGCGUGCCAACUCUCCAAAAAAGGAGUUGUUUAUCACAGGCCACAGUGGAAGCCGGCGCCAUCUUCUAAUGGCGGCCACGGUCUAUAAGAAUGGCUUACCACAGUUCCCCCUUCUAUUUUAUAAAACAAUGCAGGCGAAAGUAGAGGUCCUAUCCCACUGUGCAGAAGUGGCUGCAGUGUAUGGUUCAGUCCUAAGGAGGGCCCUUCCCUAGACCUGGUCCCAUAUCAGCCGACGCCUUUUUUCGUAGGGCGGGGCGUGGACGUCAAACCCGCAUGCAAUAGGACAUGCUUUCCUUGAGGUCCGUUGAGGGAUCACUCAAGUGCAGUGCUUUGCCUCGCAUCCUGCAUCGUGACGACGGUGAGAAGUAGGAUAACACAAGUAGCCUGGUAGCAAUGACAAAAUUUAAGUUGGCAACACAAUCCCUAAACCCCAGAGGAAGGUAAAGAGUCUGUAGCCGAGAAGAAAGACCAGUCCUGAAACCCAUCUGCGUGCAAUGGUAACAAGACCUGCAGAGUGCAAGGGCUAUUCAGCACUGGGAGAGAAUAAGGAAGAGGACAUGCCAAUCCCAGUGCAAUGUGAAACUAACUUGGGGUGCAAUGGCCAUGCCCAGAAAUCACUGUUUAAGAUGUGCAAGCCAGAUUUGUGGAGAAAUGCCAUUUUCUAAGGCCGCAAGAGCCUGUACGAUCAUAGCCUUCUCUUGCGCAUGGCGAGUUUUAAGGCGACAGAGAAGCCACAAACAAAGUACAACACCGAAGCAACACAUUGCCCCAAAAAUGCCCACUCCCACCCAUUCCUUAAAAAAGGAAAAGGCAGAGGAUAGCCAACUGGUGAAUUGACCCAAAGUCACUGGUUCGACACGGGUGCUAUUCAGAACAGCAAUCUGAGUUAGUUGAGACUGGAUCAAGUUUUCUGCUUCCAUGGACCAGGUUCCGGAUAGAUAUUCCCCGAUGAUGCGGGAGGCAUUUCUGGAAUCAUUAAAUCUGACAGAGGUUAUACAUAAAUGUGCACGUUGAUCAAUACAACCCAAAUGUACUAGGUCAGACAAUUCCUCAACUUGAGCUUGAAGCAGAUCUAUCCUUUGAUUAGCAGCCAGAAUCCCAGAUAAAAUGUGUUGAUUAAUUCUACUUUGAGAUUCAAGUAUGGUGGAUGUUUGUUGAAUAACCUGAUUAAUAGUGGCAGCAGUUUGUACCUGGCUGGCCAUGGCUACUCCAGCUGUAACUGCUGCAGCAGCAGACACUGCCACAGCUGUCACUAUAGCUGCCGUAAUUCCAAAAUCUCUACGGGCUCUAAUCAGUUCAACAAUAGGAAAUGACUCUGGAUCUGCAGUAACCGGGAUCGGGACAAAGGUUGGAAUUUUCAUAACCACUGCCGUAGUCCAGGAGCCAUUCCAACACUCAGACAAAUAACAGGUAAUAUUAGAACAAUUAAGCAUCCCCUGUAAUGUAACAUUAGCCAAAAGAAACAGGAACGGAGAUUGNCCUACCUCGCUCCGAGUCUUGGGUACUGCCAGAAACAUUAAACAGCCAACUUUGGACUCCUAAUAUUUCCCUGGGGAAACACAAGCGCGGACUAGACUAGCCCAAUCUGAGGGAGUCAUGCAAAAUCUAGUAAGUCCCUCCACCUGAGUGAGAGUGAAAGCGGCAUCUAUGCCAUAAGUGCGGACAGAUUCUGCCAAGGUUUUAAUUAUCUUAAAGUCUAAAGGCUCAUGAUAUCUUCCCCUGUUAUUGUCCUGAAAUACAGGGUAUGCAAGUCCCAUAUCUGUAUUAACUGUCCUCCAAACUUGCGCAUGAAAAGAUCUCCCGGAACUUUGGCCCUCCCCCACAUACGGGGGUGGGGCAACAGGCCUCAUAUCUUCUUCUAAAUUUUCAACCUCCUCCUCCUCAGAAUUCUGUUGACCAAUAUUAGAUCCCUCCCCCUUCUUACAGUAGGCUUGCGUGCCUUGUGUCUCCUUUUUCUUCUUUUUCAUUUUUAUCUUAUGUAGUUGUUGUAACAAUAUAUCAAGGUCCUCAGAACUCUCUGAGUCGCUUGUGUUCUCAGGCGUUUUUAAUUCGGUCAAGUCUGGGUAGAGCCUUCUCCUAUUUUUAUCUUCAGGCUCUUUUGCCUUCUCACUACUGUUACUUUUAAUACUCUCUGCCACUUCACUACAUGAUCCUUCAGAUUUUUCCUCAUGCAGUUGCUCAAGAAUAGCUUGACCCUCACUCACAGCUUCCUGGCAUUUACCAUCUGUUAUACAUCCUCUAACUAACUUCCAAAGUGGUAUAACGCCACCCUCUAAGGUGCCUUGCUCACGAGCGAAAUCUAGAUCUUUCCCUAAUUUGUCCCAGCUAGGAAUCGUAAGACUCCCUGAAAAAGCAAACCAAGGAGCCGCUAUAUCAGCUUCUCUUAAAAACAUCUGCAAAGUACUCUGCUUUAUCUUAAGUCCUUUUGAAUGUAACAACCCAUCUAGGGCCAACAAAAUUGGGCUUGAAGAAGCAACACCCAUAAUGUUUUUAGAACUAUAAAGAAAGUGAAAGUACAAAAAUCCCCGCUCUCUUCCUUUUACAGGGGAGCGUUCCGUUCUAUGAAUUCCCCGCUCUCUUCCUUUUACAGGGGAGCGUUCCUUUUUCCCGCUCUCUCUCUAUUUACAGAGAGAGCGCCCCGCUAUUUGCUUGCGGAUUCCCACUUUACCUGGGAACUUACCGGUACACCACCCUGACUGCUGAAAGUUCUGGAUCCUGGGUUCGAGGAAUAUAAUUCCCCAUACGGGCCACCAAUUGUCGCGACCCCUCGCCGGCAAGGGAAAACACGACACAGGAUUCUUCUUUCAGCAGUUUAUUCAGGCCUUGUUUCAUGUAUCAUCUUCUAGCGAACCCCCGCCGAGCGCCCAAGCACAGCCUAAUAAAGCCUCCCGCAUAGCAAUUCCCAAGCUGCCGCGUGGAUCUCUCUCAUAGGGUGGUAAGGGAUUGCGUGCCAACUCUCCAAAAAAGGAGUUGUUUAUCACAGGCCACAGUGGAAGCCGGCACCAUCUUCUAAUGGCGGCCACGGUCUAUAAGAAUGGCUUACCACAAUCUACUACACUUCUAUUCUUUCUCUUAUCACCACCCCUUCUUGUGGGUUAUCUUCCACCUAUCAGAGAAAACAUUUGACCUUUAGUUUUUUGGGGAUUGGCUUAUUUCACUUAGCAUGAUAGUCUUCAGAUUCAACCAUUUGCUGGCAAAUGUUAUAAAGUCAUUCUUCUUUGUGGCUUACUAAUACUCCACUUUGUAUAUUUACCACAUUUUCUUUAUCCAUUCAUCUAUUGAAGGGGACUUGGGUUAGUUCCAUAGCUUAGCUAAUUGAGUUGCUAUAAACAUUAAUGUGGCUGCAUCAUUGUAGUAUGCUGAUUUUAACUCCUUUGGAUAUAUACCAAGGAGUGGGAUAACUGGGUCAAAUGGUGAUUCCAUUCCAGGUUUUCUGAGGAAUCUCCAUACUGCUUUCCAGAGUGGUUAAACCAAUUUGCAGUCCCACCAGCAAUGUAUGAGUAUACCUUUUUCCUUGCAUCCUCACCACCACUUAUUGUUACUUGUAUUCUUGAUUAUUACCAUUCUGACUGGAGUGAGAUGGAAAUCUCAGUGUAGUUUUAAUUUGCAUUUCUCUAAUUGCUAGACAUGUUGAACAUUUUUUUCAUAUAUUUAUUGACCAUUGGUAUUUCUUCUGUGAAGUUUCUGUUCAGUUCCUUUGCUCAUUUAUUGAUUAGGUUAUUUGGUUUUCUUUUGGUGUUUUUUGAGUUCUUUAUAUAUGCCGGAGAUUAAGCUCUAUCUGAAGUGCAGGUAAAGAUUUUUCUAUCAUUCUGUAGGCUUUCUCUUCAUGCUCUUGAUUAUUUCCUUUGCUGUGAAGAAGAUUUUUAGUUUGACGCCAUCCUGCUUAUUGAUUAUUGAUUUUACUUCUUGCUCUGUAGUGUUCUUAUUAAGGAAGUCAGUUUCUGUGCUGGUAUGUUAGAGUGUUGGGCCUACCUUUUCUUUAAGUAUUUGCAGGGUUUCUGUUCUAUGACCUAGGUCCUUGAUCCACUUUGGGCUGAAUUUUGUACAGGGUGAGAGAUAGGGGUUACUAUAAAAGUUACUCUACUACAUAUGGAAAACUGGAAUUCCAUAUGAAGUAGGGUAAUUUUUAUAGUAAAAUUUAUACCAUUCUCACAUUGAAUUUAAAAUAUUUUCAAAUACCCUUGUCAAUCACCUAUUACUUUUCUCAAUAGAUGUCUAAAAACCUACAAUAAUUGUUUCAAAGUUACCAUAGGUGCUGUAUUUACUGCUCAAUUUAUGUUGUUGUGGGUGUUCUGCAUCUGAGACACUGGGACAAGAUGGGUUAACCAAUCGUACAAACAAGUAGGCCGCAGAGCCUGGCAUCGUUCCCCUUCUUCAUCAUCCCCUCUCCUUCUGGAGACUGUUAGUUCAUGACAGCUAUUAUGUCUCACUAGCUUAGCUCAUUACGCUGGAGGAAACCUGUUUGAAAAUGUUGAUGGUAUAUUUUGAAGAUGGUCAAGUUAGAAUACAGGGCCAGCACUUGCCUAGAGCAAGGUCCUGGAUUCCAUCCCUAGCACCAAAAAAAGAAAAAAGAAAGAAAUAGAAGAAAAAGAAAACUUUAAAAAGAGAUAUUGAUUGAUUCAAUCUGACCUAAUUGGAGGAAUUCCCAGCUCAGAAAGAUGUUUGGGUUAGAGAUGUAAAUUCAGACUUUGUCAGAAUAUAAGUAUUUAAAAAUCAGAAGAUUUUAUUAGAUCACCAAGGAAAGGACAUAGAGAAAAGGAGCAAGAACUGCGCUUUGGGUGGUUCAGUAUUACAAGAUGCAGAAGAAGAAGGCUAGGCAGCAUUUGAGACUGAGAAGACACAUUAGUGAGGUGGAAGGAACACCCACAGUGGGGUGAACUGAAGGCAGUCCAGAAAGCAAAAGAAAAGGGAAACGAUAAGUUAUCUCAGUACCAUCAAAAGGUAAGACCAUGGUGACAAAAACUUGAUUGGAGGGAGUGUAAAAAAAAUGGAAGGAGAUGAGUAGAGGAGUUUUACCCCAUAGGAAAGAAAUGGAGUGUGACUGACAAACAGAACUAGAAUUUUAACAGUAUUUUUAGUGGGUGAUGGCAAUGAUUGGUAGGGAUAAAAACACAUCAGAGGUGGUACAGUGUGAUCCAGGUAUGAAGGACAUGAUUUGAGUAAUAUCAAAUAAUGUAAAGAAGGAGAAAUCCAGAGAUUUUUUUCAAGAAUAUGAUACUAAUGGAUGAUGACUUAAUUUGUAUAGGCACUUGAAAAAGAAGAAAAAUUUAAAAAUCUUUAAGAUUUCUAUCUGUAGAGAUUGGAUGGAAACACUGGCUGAAAUAAAUGUCAGAGUAAGUUUUUAAUUAGGACAAGGAUGUGUGAGGUUUGGAAAAACAGAUAUCAUUCAUGACUCUGGCAACAUCUUCAAAUGGAAAUGUCCCAGAAAUUUAGGAGGUGAUGUUAUUAUAAAGAGAGUGAUUAGUAGGUUUUUAAUAAAUUCUCUUUGCUAAUAAUUAUGUGAUCUAUAACAUGAAAUGAUUAUUUUUGUAGGCUCUGCUUGAAAAGAAGCAAAAUGAAGAAGAUAAAAAGAAAAUGAGUGAAGCAGUUUCUCAGCUUAUACAAAAUACCUCUAUAAGAACCAAGAAAGAAGUAAGGAGUUUUUAAUUAUAUUUAAAAUUCCAAAUCUAAGUCCCAACUAUAAAACUAAGUGUUACUUAGAGACUUCAAAAUUGAAAAGUAACAUUCAGGAAGACUGCCUAUGAAAUUAUUCGUAUAAAUGGUUAAAAACAACUGUUCCUUUUCUUUAAUAUUACUCCUAGAGGGACAGCCAUUUUAGACUGGUUUUUAAUAGCCUUGUCAGUUUAAAAAAAAAAUAAAGUUAGGGCUGGGGAUAUAGCUCAGUUAACAGAGUGCUUGCCUUGCAUGCACAGGGCUGUGGGUCCAAUCCCAGCACCACAAACAAAUAAAUAAAUAAAAAUAAAGUUAACUGAUUUGCUUUCUCACAGACAAAUAAGUGGUAAAGUUUGCAUUCUUACAAAGCCACUCUAUAAUGUUUCUUGCCACGAAAGUAUUUCUUAGGAAUCUAUUACAGUCCUGGGCCACAUAACAACAUUUUGGUCAACAACAGACUGUAUAUAUGACAGUGGUUCCAUAAGGUUAUGAUGAAAAAUUCUUGUCACCUAGUAAUUUCUUAUUCUAGUAAGUUUUUAUUCUUGUUGAAAUAUGUUUAGAUAUACAAAUAUCUACCAUUGUGCCUACAGUGUCCAAUACAGCAACAUUGCCGUUACAGGUCUAAGAGCAAUAGCAUAGAUGUGUAUGUCAGCUGUACCUUCUAGGUUUGUGUUAAAUAUUGUCACAAAAACAAAAUCACCUAACAAUAUACUUCUCAGAACAAACCCUGUUGUUAAGCAAUUCAUGACUGUCCUUUGUCACUGACUAAAACUAGAUAGUAUCCCAAUAUGAAAAUUCCAGUUUGAGGCAGAAUCCAAACUAAUUCCUGGGCUUUUUAUUUCUGAUCUUCUGUGUCAUUCCUACUAGAACCAUGCUGUCUUUAUGAGAUUGAGAUACUAUAACUUUAGGCCAGAGCCUAACAUUUUCUUGAAGACUUAUUUUUAAAAUAGAUAAUUAACAAGUUGUAUGUAUUUUAUAGCAAAAGUAUUUUAUCAAAGUAUUCUAUCAUGGUAUUAACACUCGACUUGUAUUUUCUAAUCCUAAAAUGAAUUCACUUUGAUUUUAAGGUUGGUGGAGGUUGUGUUUUGCAUUAACCAUUAGAUAAUCUCAGGGAAUUUUUUCUAAGGUGAUGUGAUGGUGUUAAUUCCAAAUACCUUCACAAAUAUGAAUACUAACUCUGCCUCCCAUGCCUCCUGUUACUCCCCCAUAAGGAACCCUACAGGCAGCAGAAGCUCAUUGUCAAAACUGGACUCGCUCUCUUCCUCUCAGAUCUUUCCUUUCUCCUGUGCUCUUGUUGAUUUCCUUAAUACCCAGCCCCUCACUACUGCUCUGGUCAUUCACUCAGGAAGUCUUUAUUGAGCACUUCCUAUGUGCCAAGCAUUUUCUGCGUCUCUUGACUCCUUUGCAUUUCACACUACUGCCAAUUUAGGUUGUUGGUGUUUGUUGUUUUUUUUUUAAUAUAUAUAAACUUAAAAAUUAUUAUUGAAAAUAAUACAGGUUCAUGGUUAAAACAAAUGGAAGAUAUAUAACAUUGUGUAAAAGAAAAUUAAGAUUGCAAACCCAGUAUUCAGAAAAUAAUAAUCACUAUACGUAGAAUUUUUCCUUUGAAUUUUCAUUUAAUUAAAAUUAUGGCAUAUGUGGAACAAAAAUAUAUACAUCAAAAUAAAAGGGACAUCUUAGAGAGAGUAGAAGUAGGGAACCAAGGAAGAGGGAGGAGGGGAGGGAAAAGGGAAAGAACUGGGAAAUGAAGUUAAUGAAGUUAUGGGAACAUCCAUGACUUAAUUUCUUUUUGCCUCAAUGUAUUAAUCAGCUUGCCAGUUCUAAUUUAUAAGGAGGAAAAGUUUCGGUUUGGCUGAUGGUUUCAGAAAUUCCAGUCCAUGAUCAUUGGGCCCCAUCACUUUUAGGACUAUAGGGAGUCUGCAAAUCACUGCAGGAGUGUAUUGGAAUAGCAAAAGCACUCACCUUCAUGAAAAUCCAAGGGAGAUCAGUAGAGUAGAGGAAAGGGGUCAGGGGAGGGAGGAAGAAAGGGGGCAAGGGGACUUCUGGGGAAUGAUAUUGACCAAAUCCUAUUGUUAUAUUGUGUGCAUGUAUGAAUAUGUACCGUGAAUCUCAUCACUAUGUACAACAGUAGUGCACCAAAGGAAAAAAAAACCCACACACCGCAUGGUUGGGAAGUGAAUGGGAGGAAUGAGAAGGGUCAGAGUCCUGGUUUCCCCUUUUAGGGCCUGUCUCCAGUGACCUGAAGGCCUCCACCAGGCCCCACCUCUUAAAGGUUCCGACAUCUCCCAGCAGUGCCUUACUGGGACCAGACCUCUGCCUGUGGCCUGGGAGACAUUCUAGAUCCAAACCAAGUGCUCAGUCUUCCUAACCUGAUUGGAGAUAAUAACAAUUUCAUAUGCCUAACGUAUAUAAUCCUUAAAAGGCUCAACUCUUAUUACUGACCCAUGAACAACAUAGAUUGAUCUUUAAUGUCCUAACCCUUAAUUUUAUAAGGGAAGUCAACAUUAAUUAUGACCUAAAAUACGGCCACAUAUAAUGUUGACAGAUCUUCAAAAAUAUAGUUCAUAUUAAUAAACCAGAUAAAGUACAUGGCAUUUUUCUAAAUGUUCCAAAGAAAGUUUUCAUUAUGUUUUAAAAAUAGUUCAUUUAGUACAAUUCUAGAAAAUUCCCAAAGACUUUUGGAUCAUUGGAAGUUUUCUUGACAGUAUACGAUUGGCAUCAGUGUUCUUCACACUCCUUUUAAAAAGCAUGAAUAUCUAUUAGAAAAAAUUAUUGUCAUAGGAACCAUCCUGACAAGGUGUGACUAAUUCCUCAGAAUACUCCGAGCACAUAAAUUGUACUGUUUCUGAAGAUAUUUCUGUGUUAAUUUAAAUGCAUAUUUCCUUAAAAAGUAAUUUGCUUGCUCUAAGAUGUGAUCUUAUGUGCAGCUAAAAUGUUCUUCCAUUUGUGAAAUACAAGUUCCUUAAAGUUUAUUUGUUGCAUUUGCAGUGUGUGAUGCUGUUUUUCUCUUACCCUGCUCUGGGCACCAGCUCCCAAAGUGUUGCUCAGAGAUCCUGCAACCACACCUACUUUCAGAGUGACAUUGCCACACUGUUACUCUUUUCACGCCCAUUUUAUCACAAGCCAGUAGCAUGGUUUUCCAAAGGCUGUCUGAUCUGCAACAACACAACAGGCUGAAUACAGAAACAGAUCAGAGAAUCUAGCUGACUUCUAUUCCGCAAGACAUUAAGGAGAUUCACAAAGAUGUAAAAUAACGCCACUCUUCUCAAAAAUGUUUAGUUUUAGUGAAUAUACUUAUUUUUCACAAAAAUAUAUUAUUUAUACUAAUUGAUAUGAUUUAAAUUAUUGUUUUAAAGGAAUUAAUAAUUAAGUUUCAUAAAAUGUUUCCAGCUUUUAUUUCUAAUAAUAGUAAAAUAUUGAUAAAGAAACCAUAUAAACAAGAGCCACUCUCCUUUUAGAUGGAUCAUCCUGUUCCUUUUAUUCUUAUGACAGAUUCUUGGCUCUUAAAUACAUUGUGUGUUUAUUCAUCUUUUAUGCCCUAAAAGUCAUAAUUUUACUUUUUAUACAAAGUGUUAUCCCAAGGAGUGGGAUAUAGCUCAGUUGUAGAUCAUUUCCCAUCUCCAGUACUAAAAAACAUUUAUUAUCCUAAAUUUGUAUCAGAUAUUAAUCAUUUUUACUCUUUACCUAAAUAAUUUGUAGUGUCUUAAUUUACAGGUUGAAAAUACAAAAAAGCAAUAUCAUGUACAGAUUUCUCGAUUAACG
rnacentral:lncRNA from 1 species